AACGGUCUAUACCUGCGGUACCUGCGGAAGGAUCAUUACAGGACUCGCAAGACUCCUACAACCCUGUGAACCUACUAUACGAACGUUGCUUCGGCGGGUGCGCCCCGGGGAUUCGUUCCCGCGGCGCGUCAGCCCGCCGGCAGCCUACAAAUUCUGUUUCUUUGCGUUGGCAUCUCGAGAAAAACAAAUAAGUUAAAACUUUCAACAAUGGAUCUCU
rnacentral:misc_RNA from 1 species